AGAAAAAAGAAACUCCUUUAUCAUCACUCCAUGAAAUAAAAAAACACAUGACGAGGAGAAUUACCAUCGUAAUAUUAAACCUGAACACAAACGGUCUUAGUUACAUAGAAGUCAGCUAGAAUUAGAAACAUUGGAGCUAAUUACUUAACCAAUUAAAUUUUCCUUGAGACACUAAUCAAACCAUAAAACCCUCAAUACAAGUCCACUAAUUACUUAAAUUAGCAUAAGGGUUUAAAAAAAUCGCACCUAUUGACUCCGGCACACGUUGGAAACGCGGAAAGAUCAACAUGCUUGUUGGGCAGAUCGAUCUUGCCGCAGUUGGUCCACUAAGAAAACCAUAAUGCUGCACUUGGUGUAAACUGCAGGGGGGAAAGAUAUUUCAGCUAGAACCAAUAUUUUUGACCUGAUGCACUGAUAAGAGAACACACAGGAAGCCGGUUAAGAAAAACUAAACCACAUGCGUUUUAUACAAACCGUACACACACUAUUGAUACAGAGCCGACCCAUCCACCUUGAAUCUUUCUGAACUUACAAUCCAGUUAAAUAUAUAAAACUGAGUAUGGUACUAAAUAUCCAACUAUCUGGAUUUCUCUACAAACAAUCUCAACUUGGAACCAGUAUAGUAUGAAAACUUCCCUGGUAGGAUUGAGGAAACAGAGAUACCUUGAUCACAUGGAUUUUGCUCUGCCACGUUUGCUGGAAAUCCCUAAUUACCGGCUAGAAAAUUCUCACCCACUCCAAGCCGCACAAACUGUUCUUCUCACCCUCAGUCCUUCUUCAGAUGCACACAUUCGUCAUUUGGUUAAAUGAUGGAAAAAAUUGCAUGAACAAUCAAUGUAUAUACCUGAAUUAAACAGUAGCUACAAUGGUCACGCACUUCAUCUUCUAUUCUAUUCGAGUGGAUACCAGAUCAAGCUAGUUGAUGGUGCUCUGAAAGUCAAUGUACAUCUGAUACACCACGUUGAUAAUUUUUUGCUGUUUCAUGGGCCACACUAUUGCUAUCUCAUGCAAAUCUCCCGCAGAUUUCCUCUGAACCGACCUAAAUCUGAUACACCACGCAGCCUAACAAAGCAAGAAAAUGCACCAAACUGA
rnacentral:lncRNA from 1 species